rnacentral:sRNA from 1 species
UAGGUUAGCUUUGAUAUAUACGUAUCGUAUGUUAGAGUAAAAUUCUUUUAGAGGUAAUGGAGAAAGUGUUUAAGUGUUUUGAGAGAGUUUUUUAGGAAAUAGAACUUUUAUUACUUUGCUUUAAACUUGAAUACAACUUCACAACAUUGCAACAUUUGAGAGGGGGAGGAGGUAUUUAUAGCCUCCAAACUACAAAAUAUCUAAAAUAUUUUAAUCCUAAGUCUAGAGAGUUCUUACAUAAGAUCUAGAUUACAUUAUUCAAAUUAUCUAGAUUAUUCUAUUAGAGUAUCUAGAUUUUUAUGUUUAAGGAGGUGGAAGAUGAUUCUAGAAAAUUUCUAGAAUCUUUUAAGGAGGUGGAAAUGAUGAUAUUUCUAGAGAAAACUCUAGAACUUGGAUUUGGCCAUAAUUAAUUAUUGGAUAAUUGAUCCAAUAAUUAAACUUGAUUCAAAAUCAAGUUUAACUUUCAACACCCCCUCUUAAACUUGAUUUUGCUACUCCAAGCAAACUCCUCAUCUUGAUAAAGUUUUCACGCUUGAGAGGCUUGGUAAAAAAAUCGGCUACUUGAUCAUGUGUCUUCACAUACUCCAAUUGCACGUCCUUCUUGCUAACACACUCUCUAAUGUAGUGAUAGCGUGUGUCAAUGUGUUUACUUCGAUCAUGGAAGACCGGGUUCUUCGCCAAAGCUAUUGCCGACUUGUUGUCCACAAAGAUCUUCGUUGGUUCCUCUUGUGGUAAGCUUAACUCCUUCAAGAGGUUUCUUAACCAAAUAGCAUGGCAUACACAUGACGUAGCCGCUACAUACUCCGCUUCACAAGUGGAUAGAGUGACAAUUGGUUGUUUCUUCGACAUCCAUGUGAAAGCCGUGUCUCCAAUGUAAAACACAAAACCACUUGUACUCUUUCGGUCAUCUACGUCUCCACCCCAAUCGCUAUCGCUAUAUCCAACAAGCUUGUAAUCACUAGUAGUUGAAUAAUGUAAGCCAAAGUUUACAGUACCUUUGAUAUAGCGAAGAAUCCUUUUUGCCGCUUUGAAAUGAGUUGUUGUUGGAUGCUCCAUGUAACGACUAACAACUCCGACCGCAUAUAAAAUAUCGGGCCUUGUGCAUGUUAAGUAUCUCAAGCUUCCAACCAAGCUCUUAAAGGUUGUUGGAUCCACUCCUUCCCCUUCUUCUUUCUUUGAUAGUUUGAUUCCGCAUUCCAUUGGUGUACAAACGGGAUUUGAGUCAUCUAUCUUGAACUUCUUAAGUACCUCCUUAGCAUAGCCUUCUUGAGUUAUGAAUAUUCCAUUGUCUUCUUGUUUUACUUCAAUUCCGAGAUAGUAAGACAUCAAUCCAAUGUCCGUCAUCUCGAACUCCUUCGUCAUCUCUUUCUUGAAUUCUUCGAAUAUGCUUGGAUUGUUACCCGUGAAUAUCAAGUCAUCUACAUAUAAGCAUGCGAUCAAUAUAUCUUCUUUUUGAAUUUUGAUAUAGAGUGCAUGCUCAUAUGGACACUUGAUGAAAUCUUUCUCCUUGAAAUACUUGUCAAUUCGAGUAUUCCAAGCUCUUGGGGCUUGUUUUAAUCCAUAAAGCACCUUUUUUAGCCUCAAGACUUUGUCUUCUUCACCUUUGACUAUGUAGCCUUGUGGUUGCUCAAUGUAAACUUCUUCUUCAAGAUCUCCAUUUAAGAAGGCCGACUUGACAUCCAUUUGAUGUAUCUUCCACUUGUUUUGAGCCGCUAGUGAGAUGAUUAGUCUAACCGUUUCUAGACGAGCAACGGGAGCAAAUACCUCGUCAUAGUCAAUUCCGACUCUUUGACUAUAACCUUUUGCAACCAAUCUUGCUUUGUAUCUUUCCACUUCUCCUUUAGAGUUUUUCUUUGCUUUAUACACCCACUUCACGCCAAUUGCCUUGUGUCCAUUUGGAAGUGAAGUUAACUCCCAUGUGUCAUUCUUUUGUAUUGAUUUGAUCUCUUCAUCCAUGGCAUUUCUCCAAGUCUUCUUUUCAAUGGCUUUUUGGAAAUCCAUGGGUUCGCACUCCGCAAAUAAACAAAAUAAGGUAAGGUUUUCUUGAUUUUCGGUUACCUCAUAGAGCUCUUGUAUACUUCUAAAACGCGGAGUCCUUUCACUCGAACUUUCUUCUAUUUGAGAACUUGUUGGUGAAGUUGGUGGUGUAGUAGGCUCUUCACUUGGUGGCUCCUCUCUUGUUGGCUCCGGCUCAUCUUCUUCAAAAUGUGGAAAGAAGUUAUAAUCUUCUUCAUUUGAGUUCCAAUCCCAUUCUCCUUCUUCAUCGAACACUAUAUUUCGACUAAUAAUUGUCUUCUUCGUAUCGGGAUUAUAGAGCUUGUAGCCUUUGGAGUUGUUAUCAUAACCAAUGAAGAUAUACUUCUCACUUUUGUCAUCUAGUUUGCUCCGCUUCUCAUCCGGUACAUGAGCAUGAGCAAUACUUCCAAAGACUCUUAAAUGAGAAACACCGGGCUUUCUUCCGCUCCAAGCUUCUUGUGGUGUUUUUCCGGAGACACUUUUUGUUGGAGAUCGAUUUAAUAGAUAAACCGCACACGCGACCGCUUCCGCCCACAACUCUUUUGGUAGUCUCUUACUUUUGAGCAUGCUCCUUGCCAUCUCAAGAAUUGUUCUAUUCUUUCUUUCCACUACACCAUUUUGUUGAGGGGAUCUUGGCACCGUUAAUUGUCUUCGAAUGCCGUUGUCUUCACAAUACUUAAGAAACUCCUUGGAUGUAAAUUCUCCUCCACGGUCGGAUCUCAUGGUUUUGAUCACAAGACCACUCUCCUUCUCAACAUGGGCUUUAAACUUUUUGAAAAUUUCGAACACCUCGGAUUUUUCUUUCAAAAAAUAUACCCAUGUUUUUCUUGAAAAAUCAUCAAUAAAGAGAAGGAAGUAAUUACUUUUACCAAGUGAUUUCGGCUUGAUCGGACCACACACAUCGGUGUGUAUUAGCUCCAACGGUUUUUGUGCUCUUGAACUUGACUCCUUUGGAAAGCUCAUUUUGAAUUGCUUUCCAAGUAGACAUCCUUCACACACUUGAUUUGGAUGAUUUAUACAAGGUAGCCCUCUCACCAUUUCCUUCCUUGAAAGCAACUCCAAUCCUCCAAAAUUUAGAUGUCCGAAUCGAAGAUGCCAUAGCCAAGACUCCUCUUUGUAACACAUCUUAAGACAUUGUGCAAUGUCAUUUCGAAUGUUGAGGACAAACAUUCUAUUUUUCGACAUUGGCACCUUGGUAAUGAGAUUGCUUUCUUGGUCUCUUAUUGAAAGGUUAUUAUCUUUUAAUCUAAUAUCAUAACCUUUCUCUAAGAGUUGUCCAAGGCUCAAGAUGUUUGUCUUCAUGCUCGGAAUAUAGUAAACGUUGGAAAUAAAUUGAUGAUCUCCAUUCUUCAAUCGAAUGAGAAUGUUUCCUUUACCUUUUACCUCCAUCUUCGAUUCAUCUCCUAAAGCCACAUUUCCUCUCACCGAUUCAUCAAGCUCCGCGAACAUACUUUUUCUCCCGCACAUGUGAUUACUUGCACCACUAUCGAGGUACCACUUAUGAUUCUCUUUUUGUUCAUCUUUCUUGUAGCUAGCCAUUAAUAACAUGUCUUCUUCUUGAAUUUUUUCUUCAACGUAGUGGGCCUUCUCCUCAAAUUUUUUGUUGCUAGGAGCUUUACAUUCAGAAGCAUAAUGUCCAAACUUCCCACAAUUGUAGCAUUUGACACUUGAUUUAUCGUAUCUUGAUUUUGGGUGUCCUUUCCCACGACCUCUUGAUGAGUUUUCACCUCUUUGGUUUGUGUUGUCUUCAUGUGGCCUCCAACCACGUCCAUUUCCAUAUCCACCACGACCUCGUCCUCGUACUUGACCACCACCUCUUCUUUGGUAACUUUGGCCGUUUUCUUCUUUUGUAAUUUGCAUAUUGAGGACUUGUUCGGCGAUAUCUUCUUUCUUCUUCUUCUUUUCUUCAUAAGCUUGUAAUGACCCAAGAAGUUGCUCUAUUGUCAUAGCUUCUAAAUCUUUUGUUUCUUCAAUGACGGUGACAAUAUGCUCAAAUUUUAGAUCCAAUGAUCUAAGAACUUUCUCCAUGAUUCUCACAUCAUCUAGCUUCUCUCCGUUUCUUUUAAGGUUAUUAGUAACCGUCAACACUCUUGAGAAGUAAUCGGAGACGAGUUCACCUUCCUUCAUUUGUAGUGCUUCAAAUUCUCCUCUUAGAGUUUGAAGACGUACUUUCUUGACUUGAUCGGCACCUUUGUAAGAGGUUCGAAGCUUCUCCCAUGCUUCUUUCGCCGACGUAGCUUCAACGACCUUCUCGAACGUAUCUUCAUCUAAUCCUUGAUAGAUUAGACAGAGAGCUUUCUUGUCUCUCUUUCUUGAGUCUCUCAAACCAUCUUUUUGAGUUUGAGAAAGACUACCUUCAUUCUCCGGUUCAAUGAAACCUUUCUCAACUAUCUCCCACACGUCAUGUGCUCCUAGGAUAGCCUUCAUUCGUAGACUCCAAUUAUCAUAGUUGCUCUUUGUGAGCACCGGGACUUGGAAGGGAACAUUGUUACUCGCCAUCUUUAGGAUCUUCAAGCUCUGAUACCACUUUGUUAGAGUAAAAUUCUUUUAGAGGUAAUGGAGAAAGUGUUUAAGUGUUUUGAGAGAGUUUUUUAGGAAAUAGAACUUUUAUUACUUUGCUUUAAACUUGAAUACAACUUCACAACAUUGCAACAUUUGAGAGGGGGAGGAGGUAUUUAUAGCCUCCAAACUACAAAAUAUCUAAAAUAUUUUAAUCCUAAGUCUAGAGAGUUCUUACAUAAGAUCUAGAUUACAUUAUUCAAAUUAUCUAGAUUAUUCUAUUAGAGUAUCUAGAUUUUUAUGUUUAAGGAGGUGGAAGAUGAUUCUAGAAAAUUUCUAGAAUCUUUUAAGGAGGUGGAAAUGAUGAUAUUUCUAGAGAAAACUCUAGAACUUGGAUUUGGCCAUAAUUAAUUAUUGGAUAAUUGAUCCAAUAAUUAAACUUGAUUCAAAAUCAAGUUUAACUUUCAACAUCGUAUAGAAGAUACAACACUUUAUACCAG